rnacentral:rRNA from 1 species
CAACAGAGUUUGAUCCUGGCUCAGGACGAACGCUGGCGGCGUGCUUAACACAUGCAAGUCGAACGAAGAGCGAUGGAAGCUUGCUUCUAUCAAUCUUAGUGGCGAACGGGUGAGUAACGCGUAAUCAACCUGCCCUUCAGAGGGGGACAACAGUUGGAAACGACUGCUAAUACCGCAUACGAUCCAACCUCGGCAUCGAGGAUGGAUGAAAGGUGGCCUCUAUUUAUAAGCUAUCACUGAAGGAGGGGAUUGCGUCUGAUUAGCUAGUUGGAGGGGUAACGGCCCACCAAGGCAAUGAUCAGUAGCCGGUCUGAGAGGAUGAACGGCCACAUUGGGACUGAGACACGGCCCAGACUCCUACGGGAGGCAGCAGUGGGGAAUCUUCCGCAAUGGACGAAAGUCUGACGGAGCAACGCCGCGUGAGUGAUGACGGCCUUCGGGUUGUAAAGCUCUGUUAAUCGGGACGAAAGGUCCUCUUGCGAAUAGUUAGAGGAAUUGACGGUACCGGAAUAGAAAGCCACGGCUAACUACGUGCCAGCAGCCGCGGUAAUACGUAGGUGGCAAGCGUUGUCCGGAAUUAUUGGGCGUAAAGCGCGCG